rnacentral:lncRNA from 1 species
CAGAUUCCCAAAUAUGGAGAAGGACUGGGCUUUGGAUGAGGAGCAGCACAGACACCCUUAAGAGAGGGGGGAGGAUGAGGGCUCUCACCACUUGCCCUCCAGACUCACAGAAGAGCAGCUUUUUUGGGCCUGUGCCCAUCUCCUGAAGCAGAUAAUGAACUCAGCUUCCUCAUCAAAACCUGCCUGUGUUGUUCGGAGGCCCUGCUACUCCUGCCUUCUCAGGCCUAGAAAGUAUCCAGAGUCUGUGAACACUGGUGUCUGAGAUCCAGUAGCAUUCUUGAAAAGAUAGAGUCUCACUAUGUAGCCCUGGUUAGCUGGCCUGGAACUUGCAAUCAGAAAUGAAAAUUCUGAAAAAAAAAAAAAGAAAGAAAGAAAAGAAA